CCUACGGGUGGCAGCAGUGAGGAAUAUUGGUCAAUGGGCGCGAGCCUGAACCAGCCAAGUCGCGUGAAGGAUGACUGUCCUACGGGUUGUAAACUUCUUUUAUCAAGGAAUAAAGUGAGGCACGUGUGCCUUUUUGUGUGUAUUUUAUGAAUAAGGAUCGGCUAACUCCGUGCCAGCAGCCGCGGUAAUACGGAGGAUCCGAGCGUUAUCCGGAUUUAUUGGGUUUAAAGGGAGCGUAGAUGGGUUGUUAAGUCAGUUGUGAAAGUUUGCGGCUCAACCGUAAAAUUGCAAUUGAUACUGGCAGCCUUGAGUACAUUUGAGGUAGGCGGAAUGCGUGGUGUAGCGGUGAAAUGCUUAGAUAUCACGAAGAACUCCGAUUGCGAAGGCAGCCUACUAAGCUGCCACUGACAUUGAUGCUCGAAAGUGUGGGUAUCAAACAGGAUUAGAUACCCGAGUAGUC
rnacentral:rRNA from 1 species